UAAGGAUCUGCUUGAUGCUAAGGACACUCCC
rnacentral:piRNA from 1 species